ensembl:lncRNA
UAUAUAGUGUGCAGUGUGUAAUAUAUAGUGUGCAGUAUGUAAUAUAUAGUGUGUAAUAUAUAGUGUGUAAUAUAUAGUGUGCAGUGUGUAAUAUAUAGUGUGCAGUGUGUAAUAUAUAUAGUGUGUAAUAUAUAGUGUGCAGUGUGUAAUAUAUAGUGUGUAAUAUAUAGUGUGCAGUGUGUAGUAUAUAGUGUGCAGUGUGUAAUAUAUAAUGUGCAGUGUGUAAUAUAUAGUGUGCAGUGUGUAAUAUAUAGUGUGCAGUGUGUAGUAUAUAGUGUGCAGUGUGUAGUCUAUAGUUGGCAGUGUGUAAUAUAUAGUGUGCAGUGUGUAGUCUAUAGUGUGCAGUGUGUAAUAUA